rnacentral:rRNA from 1 species
AUUGAACGCUGGCGGCAGGCCUAACACAUGCAAGUCGAACGAGUGGCGGACGGGUGAGUAAUGUCUGGGAAACUGCCUGAUGGAGGGGGAUAACUACUGGAAACGGUAGCUAAUACCGCAUACCCUCGGAUGUGCCCAGAUGGGAUUGGCUAGUAGGUGGGGUAAAGGCUCACCAAGGCGAAGUCCCAUCGCUGGUCUGAGAGGAUGACCAGCCACUAUGGAAAUGAGACACGGUCCAGACUCCUACGGGAGGCAGCAGUGGGGAAUAUUGCACAAUGGGCGAAAGCCUGAGGCAGCCAUGCAGCGGGUAUGAAGAAGGCCUUCGGGUUGUAAAGUACUUUCAGCGGGGAGGCGUUACCCGCAGAAGAAGUACCGGCUAACUCCGUGCCAGCAGCCGCGGUAAUAC